GCGUUCGUAGCUCAGCUGGAUAGAGCGACGGACUUCGAAUCCGUAGGCCGGGGGUUCGAGUCCCUCCGGACGCA
rnacentral:tRNA from 1 species